UCCGAAUUGGUGUAGUGGCUAACAUUUGACGCUCUCAUCUUCGUGCUAAACGUAGAAAAGUGCCGUCAAGCCCGGGGUUCGAUUCCCCGAUUCGGAG